rnacentral:rRNA from 1 species
GACGAACGCUGGCGGCGUGCUUAACACAUGCAAGUCGAACGGAAAGGCCCUGCUUUUGUGGGGUGCUCGAGUGGCGAACGGGGGAGUAACACGUGAGUAACCUGCCCUUGAAUUUGGGAUAAAUUCAGGAAACUGGGGAUAAUACAGGAUAGGAGCUCCUGCUGCAUGGUGGGGGUUGGAAAGUUUCGGCGUUUGGGGAUGGACUCGCGGCUUAUCAGCUUGUUGGUGGGGUAGUGGCUUACCAAGGCUGUGAAGGGUAGCCGGCCUGAGAGGGUGACCGGCCACAUUGCUCCUGAGAUACGCCCCAGACUCCUACGUGACGCAGCAGUGGGGAAUAUUGCACAAUGGGCGGAAGCCUGAUGCAGCAACGCCGCGUGCGGGAUGACGGCCUUCGGGUUGUAAACCGCUUUCGCCGGUGACGAAGCGUGAGUGACGGUAAUGGGUAAAGAAGCACCGGCUAACUACGUG